GCUGGAAUGGCCGAGUCGUUAAGGCGAGUGAUUUGAAUAGGCGCUCAUGUAGUGCUUGAGUUGAUAUCACUUGGUGUUUCACCGCGUAGGUUCAAAUCCUGCUUCCAGCG